rnacentral:rRNA from 1 species
UUCCGGUUGAUCCUGCCAGAGGUUACUGCUAUCGAGGUUCGACUAAGCCAUGCGAGUCGAAUGUAGCAAUACAUGGCGUACUGCUCAGUAACACGUGGACAACCUGCCCUUAGGUUGGGUAUAAACCCGGGAAACUGGGUAUAAUCCCCUAUAAGUCUCGGCUGCUGGAAUGCACCGAGAUUAAAAGCUCCGGCGCCUAAGGAUGGGUCUGCGGCCUAUCAGGUAGUAGUGGGUGUAGCGUACCUACUAGCCUACGACGGGUACGGGUUGUGAGAGCAAGAGCCCGGAGAUGGAUUCUGAGACACGAAUCCAGGCCCUACGGGGUGCAGCAGGCGCGAAAACUUUACAAUGCUGGCAACAGCGAUAAGGGAACCUCGAGUGCCAGGUUACAAAUCUGGCUGUCGAGAUGCCUAAAAAGCAUUUCAUAGCAAGGGCCGGGCAAGACCGGUGCCAGCCGCCGCGGUAACACCGGCGGCUCGAGUGGUAACCGUUAUUAUUGGGUCUAAAGGGUCUGUAGCCGGCCGGAUAAGUCUCCUGAGAAAUCUGGCAGCUCAACUGUCAGGCUUUCGGGAGAUACUGUCUGGCUCGAGGCCGGGAGAGAUGAGAGGUACUUCAGGGGUAGGGGUGAAAUCUUGUAAUCCUUGAAGGACCACCAGUGGCGAAGGCGUCUCACCAGAACGGACCUGACGGCAAGGGACGAAAGCUAGGGGCACGAACCGGAUUAGAUACCCGGGUAGUCCUAGCCGUAAACGAUACUCGCUAGGUGUCGGCCACGGUGCGACCGUUGUCGGUGCCGUAGGGAAGCCGUGAAGCGAGCCACCUGGGAAGUACGGCCGCAAGGCUGAAACUUAAAGGAAUUGGCGGGA